rnacentral:rRNA from 1 species
UGCCAGCAGCCGCGGUAAUACGAAGGGUGCAAGCGUUGUUCGGAAUUAUUGGGCGUAAAGGGUUCGUAGGCUGGAGUUCAAGUCAAGUGUGAAAACCAUGGGCUUAACCUGUGACGUGCAUUUGAGACUGAAUUUCUUGAGUUUGGGAGAGGGUGUUGGAAUUGCUGGUGUAGGAGUGACAUCCGUAGAGAUCAGCAGGAACACCAGAGGCGAAGGCGAACGCCUGGCCCAUAACUGACGCUGAGGAACGAAAGCGUGGGGAGCAAACAGGAUUAGAUA